rnacentral:SRP_RNA from 2 species
UGUCGGUCCUCCCGCAACACUAAAUCGUGAACCCCGCCAGGCCCGGAAGGGAGCAACGGUAGCGAUGGACGUGUGUGCCGGGAUGUGGCUGGCAGGG